GGCCUCCCUAGGGUCAUAUUCAUAUCCGGGUGCCUGUGGAGGCGGCAUCUAAGCCCGUGGAACCAAGGACUGCAAUCUGAAACCCCCAUCCCUUGUUCCCAUAGGACUGGGCCCUACACUGCCAAGGUCCACUCGCUUAUCUCUGAAAGGUCCAGAAGAAGCCGCUAAUGGUCCGUCGGGGACAGGGCAAGUGUUGGGAUGUGGCCAGAGAAGGCUGUGGCCUGGGAAGUGGCAGUAACGAUCGGGGGAGUCGAGACGUGGCCGGCAAAGGCCUGUGGGUGGUGGUGAUGGUGUAGGAAGUGGCCUCAGUGUGUCAGCAGAGCAGGAAAAGGGGCGCUAAUGAAAGCGAUCGGUAACCGCCGGCAGCAGUGGGAAGUGUCUGGCCUCAGCUCCAGGGGGCUGGGACUGGUGGGCAAAGGUGCGGGGAUCAAUCGGGGCCGGGUCACAGCGCGGAGGGGCCGCCAAAAGGCGCUCUCGGCCGGGGUCCCGCCCUUUGGUGUCCCCGCGCCCCCGGGCGCCGCCCACCCGCCGGAGUAGCCAGGCAGCCCGGGGAUACGGGAUCAAGGCUCGGGACUCGGGACCCAGAGGUCCCAGCGACUCCCGCCCGAUACCUACGUGCGCGGCGGAGAGGCCCCAGGGUUACGCGCCACCUGCGCUUACCGCCCCCUAAAGUUCCCGCAGAGCUGGCGCGCGCCGAUGACGUCAGAGACCAAUGGCGGCGGCGGCGGCGCUGGAAGCCUGGCAAGCGGUGUCUCGUCGGAGAAGGCGCUCGGCGGCUCUGCGUCCGCGGCGUAGGGAGGCGGCGGCGGUGGCGGCGGCGGCCCGGGACCCGGGAGCCCAGCCCGAGGUGGACGGCGGAGACGUGCUUCGUCGCAUCCAGGAAGCCAGGGAGGACCUGCUUAUCUCUGAUUUCUGGAGUUCAGCACUAGAAACCAUCAACAGGUGUCUUAGGAAAUAUCUGGAACAGCUGAAGGCCCCUGUGGGGCCUCUUUCAGAAGCCCUUGGAAACCUGCAUCUCGACUCAUCACCAGGUGAGUCAGAUGUGGCCCCUGGCUCCGUCCCAGGAGAGACCCCAGUCACAGGAUCCUGCCGUUUGAAGUGUGUGUGUUACGGCGUUGGGAACUUCGCCACCUGCAUCAUAGCUAGAAACCAGCUCGCAUUUUUGCUUCUCUUUCUGGAAGAGUGCCAGAUCCCCAGAAGUCACUGCUGGGUGUAUGACCCUCUGUUUAGCCAGCUGGAAAUUGCGGUUCUUAGCACCCUUGGUGUGGUUGUUCUCAGUGAGAACGAGGAAGGAAAACGGAGUGUGUACGGCGAGCCCACCGUCUUUUACAUGCUCCACUGUGGGACAGCGCUCUACAACAACCUUCUAUGGAGGAACUGGUCCAUAGAUGCCCUUUCCAAGAUGGUCAUCGUUGGGAACAGUUUCAGAGGACUCGAGGAAAGGUUGUUGACAAGGAUUCUGCAGAAACAUUAUCCGUAUGUUGCAAAGAUUUUGAAAGGACGGGAGGAGCUGGCAUUCCCUCAGACUUCACAGUACAUGGACGUAUUUAAUGACACCUCCGUCCACUGGUUUCCUGUACAAAAGCUAACACAACUCUCCACGGACACUUGGGCCUUCCGGGAAGAACCGGAUUACCAGGACUGUGAGGGUCUCGAGAUCAUCAGGAACAAGACAGAAGACCCUUCAGCCACUGACUUGAACCCGCUGUGAUGUGUCGCCACGGAGGGACUGCAGUGAGUCCCCUUUCGGACAGGGCAGGAAGUACGUCAACUGUGAUUUAAAAUACUAUUUAAAAUACUGUUUGUUUAUUCACCAGUCUGUCUGUGGCAGGUGCUGCGGUCUACUUGGCCAUGUCAAUCAGGCUCUGCAGGGAGGUGGGCACCCAGGUCUUCUCCCCCUGCACGAACACCACGCCCCUAUCGAUGUAGAUGACGAUGCGGCCGAAGGUGUACAGCUGCUUCCCUUCGUGUCGCUUCCCGAUGACGGGCAUGAAGACGAUGUUGUGCUCCUCGGCCUUGGUCUCAAUGAGGUCUUUAAAGUUCAUGGGCACAGAGCUGGCAGCCACGCCGAUGCCUCUCUGGGCCAUGUUCUCAGCCUCUCGUCGUUCCUGCAUGGCCUCAUACUGGAAAUCCUUCCUCCGCUCCGUGUGGGUGAGCAUCGGCACGUGGCCAGGGCUCAUACAGGCAGUGCCCCCCGUCCCCCCCGAGGAGCACCUGUGGAAGGCGUCUGCCGAGAGGUCCUGCCCACCGUGGGACAACAGCUGGUCGUUCUCCAGGAGGCUUUUCCACUUGGAGAUGAUCUCGGUGCCAUACGUACAGUCCUGAGGAGAAACACAUCAGCCGAGAGACAGCCGGCUGACGGCCCCCUUGCCCCCGGGCCUGUCCCGGAGGAGAGGCAGCGCAGUGGACUCCCCGCCCACUCACCUUGAGGGGGUCCCACUCCUUGAAGUAGUCCUUCAUGAGCGGGUAGACGAUGGCCACGGCCAGGUCCACGCGGUCGGACAUCCUGUACUCCUCGUAGUACUUGUCCUGCAGGGUCUCGAAGAUGCGGGCGCACUCGUCCAGGGUGAGGGGGUCACCGCAGCCGGGCUGCAGGCGCCGCUCGCACUCCUCCACGAGCCCCAGGACCUUGCUCAGGUUGGAGAUGGCCCGUUCCUCGUGCUCCAGGACCUCCGACACCUUUUCCAGCUCGUGGGACAGGUUGACCACCAUGUCUCGCUCGUACUGCAGCUGCCGGUCGUUCUGGAUGAUCUCCUGCUCUGUGAGGUCGAUGAGCAGCUGCAGGUUGUGCUCCAGCUCCGGCAGUGCGAAGCCGGGGGCCUUGGCCUCCUUGCCAGGCUGGGGCGGCUGCUGUGACUGCAGCGGGAGCCCGUCGUCGGGGACGCUGUGCUUGUGGCUGAUCUGGCUGUAGCUGUAGUAGACCUUCUGCUCCCGGCCCGUCAUGUCUAUGACCUUGGAGAAGGCGGCAGAGGGCACGUGGCUUAAUGCUCACCACUGCUGCCCUGUUAGACACACACCUGAGCCCGGGGAAGGCACGACGCUAGUGGGAACGUGUCAAAACCACACCGUUCAGCAGAGCUGGAGAAGGGGUGUUUCUCAAAGUGGGGCCUGGGCUGCGCUAGAUUGGAAGAGACUCCAGGGACACAACAACCAACCGGUUGUUGAAUCGGUCCCUCUGGACCAACCGGAUGGAGAAGACUUUUUAGCAAAACUGACGAAAUAUGAAUGUGGACUAUUUAGUUGAGAUGAAAAUCUAUUUUCAUGGAAAAGUAGAGGCUGUACUGAUCAAAGCAGGCAAUGGGACAACAAACACAAUCAAAAUCGUAUUUUGGUAAAAAAAAGUGCAUAUUUAGACAAAAACACCUGGAAGGAUGCCUCUAUUUCCUAAUUGUCUAAAAUGUACUGCAUACUGCUCUGUAGUAAUAGUUUUUUUAAUUUAAAAACAACAUGAAACAUACAAAAGGCAACCGAGGAAAUGAGCUAACUUCAAUGUCUGAAGGAGACUGAGGAAACGAGAACGUGGCUGUGCUGAAACAGAAGCAUUGCCAUCACCUGAGGUGAGAGUGUAAUCUCUGAACCACCUGUAUUACAAAUACCUGGGGGAAAAUAACGGAGCAUGAGGCCUCAGGCCCCAUCUAGAGCUACAGCCUCAAAAUCUCCAGCUGUGACCUGGACAUCUGCGCUUCUCACCAGGUCCCCAAGUAACCUGAUACACAACACCCUGACCUCUGAGAACCCCCACUCGACUUUCUGUAAUACACACGCACUGUAUCUCCUACGCUACGUCCCCUACAACAGACAUCUGUCACCAAUGUUCUCUGGCCACUAGGGACAGUAAUGGAAAAGCUCAGAACAGUGGUAAUCAUCUUAAAUGCGAUGCUGGGAUGCCCUGAGGGCCCACUCCUGCUCGAGAAGUGAGUUAGUGCAACCUUCCCACGAUUUAAGAGCCUUGAUGACUUUAACCUGUGACUGCACUUCUAGGACUCUAUCCUUAACAGCUGUAAAACAAAGACAAACCUUUAUACACAAACUAACCUGCCCCAAACCAAACCAGAAAUGUUAAAGGUCUAGCAACAGAAUGACAGGAGCAUCAUUAAAUCCACUGACGGCAAGCUCCAGAAAGCUGGGGACAUUGUUCGAUUUAGCACUUUCACGCCACAGGGAGCGCUUGGCACAGGGGUGGGACGGCGAUGAACCUGAGCCUGAGUGCGGGGAGUGGGCACAGGCUGCUUCAUGCCACAGAGGCAGCACACACACAGCCGGGAUGGAAGGCCCGCGGGAACCUUACGAGCAAAUGUUCGGUGACUGCUCUGGUGUGUGGGAUAACUUUGUGUCUUCCAAGCCCCCAUCCUGGACCAGGCAUCCACGGGCCCCAUACCUUGACCUGAGAGAGCUCCUUCUGGGGAGCAGCGAGCUUCUUGCUAAUCCUGCCCUUGGCUUUCAACUCUUCCACUGUCUUGUAAGAGUAUCUGGGCUUCUUCUUGCUUCCACUGGGGUCUUUCCUCCACUGGCUCAGCUCCUUCUGAAAUUCCUGAGUCAGAGGGAUACAGUCCAUCACAAGAAGGAAGGCCACUUUUUUCCACAGGUGGGGUCGGUGAGACUUUCACAAGGUUCUGUGCUGAGGACCGUGCUGUGUAACACUAAACCCAGCCAAGGACACUGCUUGACACCCGCUCCCCGCCCUUACCAAUGCUGAGACCCCUUCCCCACACACCCAACCUUAAGUUCUCCCCAGGACUUCCUGCAACCACACUGUGGUUACUUGUUGACCGCGUCCCUGUCCACCAGGCUCCACACCCGUUCAGCGUGGGACACCAGCCUCCAGCACGGUGAGUGGCACACGGUAGCUGGGCGAGUGAGCGAGCAGAUGAACAAACACCAGUUGAAAGGGGCACAGACAGCACCCGGCCCGUCUCCUGACUCACCUCCUCGGCUUCUUCUUCGGAGUCAGCCAUGGGGAAGUCUUGCAGGGGCUGAGUGGUGCGCUCUGAGCCAUAUGCCCCCACGGCGCCCUUCCCCUUUCUCUGCUUGGCUUCGAUUGGGUUGAUGAUACCUGACAAAUUUCAGCAAAAGACAGAGACUUCAGGUCACGGCAGUUGCCAUGUGUGUGAGCCACUCAGGGGGAUCACACUCCUGGGUCCUUACUCAAGACGACGCACCACCCAGGAAGGAGAGUGCACUUCUGCCCUCGUAACACUGUUCCACUCCUGGGUGACCGGAAGUGUCUGCAUUUAUGCUGCCACAGAGCAGUGUGCGGAUAUCACCAUAUGUAUGUCCUAAACACAGAUUUCCAUUUCCACUUGGAUUCAUUGUUUUAGUGGAUGGGAAUAUUCAUUUAUAACUGGAAACUCUGGCAUACUAGAGUCUACACUUUGUUAACUUGGAAGCCUAUUAAUACAGAGAGGGCAGUAAUUCAGAUAAUAUACUAAUUCUGAUUAAAGUGAGGUGAGGCUGCCAUUUAAUAUGAAACGCCAUCUAUUUUACUCAGUACUUCAUGUCUCCCAUGCUUAACUUGUUCUAUAACAUGUUUAAGCCUUGGAAAUAAAUGUGUCUUUUCUGUAAAAAAGUUUACAAACAGGACUACAACAUUUCAGUGAAGAACUGCCCUCACCCCAAACUUCCCACCACACUCCUUCCAGUUAGUACCGUGGAAAUGCCACGUUAGAACGUCCCUUACGCAUUCCAGGUCACCUUUUCCAUGUUCACUCAAGUCCAUGGAUUUUUCAUACAGCUAACAGUUACCUGUCCUGCCCCUUUGUGAGCAGGGACCACAGACUCCUAUGCCUUCAGGGCCCAGAAACAUUAACAGGAACAAGGAAAGUGGGCUGGGGUGUGGAGAAGGCUUCCAGAAUAAGGUCGUGGCUGCUACCUGGGGCAGGAAGAUUCAGCGAAACCACUCACCGCCAAGCAAACCUAGAAUUCAGAUUUUUAAAUACUGGCAACCAGUUUGAUUUUUUUUAGAAACAACGGGCGGGCCAGAAAGAAGCCUGUUUUCAGCCUAUCAGCCUGCAGCCUAUUUGAACCCUAACCUCUCCCUCCUGCUAAAAUAAGUGUAUUUUAUGUAACUUGAGUUCUGAUAAAGUGCAGUGGCAUGGAGCACAACUGUCAUGUGCUGCCAGAAAAGCGAAAAAGCAGAGAAAAGGCAAACCACGCCCCAGCUGCUCUUCCGGCCUCUGCCUGGCCGCCCUCGUGUGAAACGGUGGAGUGGGGGUACCACACCUUGUGCGUUCUUCCCGAGGCCUCUUCCAGGGACAUAGCCCAUCUUCUGAAGAAGCUUCUGUCCAAUUCCUUUUGUGUGUCUUUCCCAGCUGCCAAAAUCCAUGAAAGACUUGGUUCCUCCUGCAAAACCUUUCUGGCUGGGUUUAAAAUUGCCACCCUGAAAAGAAGAAGAAAAAUCAAAAGAAGGAAAAACCUAAGGAAGAAAGCUUGGCUGAUGGGAACAUGGCUGGCAGUCACAGAGCAUUGUGAAAAGUAUCCUAUUGUACAAACCAAACAUCUGUGAUGUGUCUCAGUAAAGAGACAAGACUGCACUGCACAUAUCACCCCUCAGGGAAACCUACCUCACAGGGAGAGACCCACACAAGCGGCCUCCAGCUGAACCCCUCCCCCAGCAGAUGCUUGGGCCAAAGUGAUCUUCCAGGGGUAUUACUAAGGUCACAAUCCUUCAAUAAAAAUGCUACCGUUUUUAACUUCUUUGGUCCGAAAUCCUUAGGAAAUUCAUCCUGCUUAACAGGUUUCUCCUCAUCGUCGGAGCCUUCCAGCUCCGGCUCUUCUGCCGCCCCUUUCUUGAGCCCCGCGCUGAUGAAGUUGACUGGCGCCGAGUAGUCGCGGGCCCUGCGGGCAAACACAAGGCCCCACGGGGUCCAUGAGAACUCUCUGCAGGCAUCCCUUGGAGCAGCUUUGCUGGCCAGAGAACUUCCUUAGGGCGGACCUCGUGGGAUCCACUUUAAAGACCAACCCAUUGACUCGUAUCAAAAGGGCCCCAGUAAUCACGUUUGACAUUUUUGCCUGAUGUGUUCAAGUCAACUCCGUGGCUUAAGAGUUACCAAUAACAUACACACUAACAAACGUAGUAAGGUAGAUAGCUAGUGGGAAGCAGCCGCAUGGCACAGGGAUAUUGGCUCGGUGCUUUGUGACAGCCUGGAGGGGUGGGAUAGGGAGGGUGGAAGACGCAAGAGGGAAGACAUAUGGGAACAUAUGUUUAUGUAUGACUGGUUCACUUUGUUAUAAAGCAGAAACUAACACACCAUUGUAAAGCAAUUAUACCCCAAUAAAAAUGUUAAAAAAAAAAAGUUACCAAUAACAGAGUUGACUUAAAAUUGUAAAUAUGAUGUAACUGUCCACCUUCCUUUUACGUUUUUAAAAAAUUAACUUACUUUAAAAAGCAUUUGUGACAUUGAGUCGAGAUGGCAUCCCCCCCAAGACUCCAGGAGCACAUGUACAAAUGGAGCGGCUCUCAGAGAACACCUGCUGGACACCAGCAGAGGACCUCGGACA